rnacentral:rRNA from 1 species
GUCUACGGCUAUGCUACUCUGAACAAGCCCAAUCCCGUCUGAUCUUGGAAGCCAAGCCUGGUUAGUACUUGGAUGGGAGACCACCUAGGAAGAUCAGGUGCUGUAGGCA